rnacentral:rRNA from 1 species
ACUCCUACGGGAGGCAGCAGUGGGGAAUAUUGCACAAUGGGCGCAAGCCUGAUGCAGCCAUGCCGCGUGUGUGAAGAAGGCCUUCGGGUUGUAAAGCACUUUCAGUUGUGAGGAAGGUGGUGUCGUUAAUAGCGGCAUCAUUUGACGUUAGCAACAGAAGAAGCACCGGCUAACUCCGUGCCAGCAGCCGCGGUAAUACGGAGGGUGCGAGCGUUAAUCGGAAUUACUGGGCGUAAAGCGCAUGCAGGUGGUUUGUUAAGUCAGAUGUGAAAGCCCGGGGCUCAACCUCGGAACUGCAUUUGAAACUGGCAGACUAGAGUACUGUAGAGGGGGGUAGAAUUUCAGGUGUAGCGGUGAAAUGCGUAGAGAUCUGAAGGAAUACCGGUGGCGAAGGCGGCCCCCUGGACAGAUACUGACACUUCAGAUGCGAAAGCGUGGGGAGCAAACAGGAUUAGAUACCCUGGUAGCACAGAG